rnacentral:rRNA from 1 species
UACGAAGGGGGCUAGCGUUGUUCGGAAUUACUGGGCGUAAAGCGCACGUAGGCGGGUUUGUAAGUAGGGGGUGAAAUCCCAGGGCUCAACCCUGGAACUGCCUUCUAGACUGCAAGCCUGGAGGUCAGGAGAGGCGAGUGGAAUUCCGAGUGUAGAGGUGAAAUUCGUAGAUAUUCGGAGGAACACCAGUGGCGAAGGCGACUCGCUGGACUGAUACUGACGCUGAGGUGCGAAAGCGUGGGGAG